GAGUUUGAUUCUGGCUCAGGAUUAACGCUGGCGGCGUGCGUAACACAUGCAAGUCGAACGGUAUUUUGAAAGGAAAAGGCUUCGGUCUUGGAAAGUCAAGAGAGAGUGGCGAACGGGUGAGUAACGCGUGAGCAACCUGCCUUCCACAAAGGGAUAGCUGCCGGAAACGGUAAUUAAUACCAUAUGAAGUUAACGAAUCGCAUGAUAAGGUAACUAAAGAGAAAUCGGUGGAAGAUGGGCUCGCGUCCGAUUAGCUGGUUGGAGAGAUAACAGCUCACCAAGGCAAUGAUCGGUAGCCGGCUUGAGAGAGUGAACGGCCACACUGGAACUGAGAGACGGUCCAGACUCCUACGGGAGGCAGCAGUGGGGAAUUUUGCACAAUGGGGGGAACCCUGAUGCAGCGACGCCGCGUGAGCGAAGAAGGAAUUCGUUUCGUAAAGCUCUGUCCUAUGGAAAGAUAAUGACGUACCUAGAGAGCC
rnacentral:rRNA from 1 species